CGGGGGGUUCAUGAGGAUACUCUUGACAUCUCCGAACGCCUUUUCACAGUCCUCGUCCCAUUUGUUAGAGGUUUCCUUUUUCAUUCCGCCAACUUGGGUAUGAACCGCGACAGCGCGGUGACCCUCCCAACCAACCUCUAAACCUCCUUCAGAGUGCGAGGGCUUUGCAUUUGCAGGACUGCGUCGCAUUUAUCAGGAUUGGCCUCUAUCCC
rnacentral:lncRNA from 1 species